rnacentral:rRNA from 1 species
GACGAACGCUGGCGGCGUGCUUAACACAUGCAAGUCGAGCGGAGCGGCGAACGGGUGAGUAACGCGUGAGUAACUGCCCCCCUCUCUGGGAUAACAGUUGGAAACGGCUGCUAAUCCCGGAUAGUGGGGGAUGACUCGCGUCCUAUACGUUUGUUGGUGGGGUAGUAGCCGACCAAGGCGACGACGGGUACCCGGCCUGAGAGGGCGACCGGCCACAUUGGGCUGAGAUACGGCCCAAAUUCCCACGGGAGGCAGCAGUGGGGAAUAUUGCACAAUGGGGGAAACCCUGAGGCAGCAACGCCGGGUGCGGGAUGACGGCCUUCGGGUUGUAAACCGCUUUCAGCCAUGACGCGGUAGUGGCAGAAGAAGCACCGGCUAACUACGUGCCAGCAGCCGCGGUAAUUC